rnacentral:rRNA from 1 species
AUGGCUCAGAACGAACGCUGGUGGCGUGUCUUAUACAUGCAAGUCGAGCGAGGCAGCAAUGCCGAGCGGCGAACGGGUGAGUAACGCGUAAGCAAUCUGCCCCAUAUCAGGAAAUACCCGUGCCGAACGCGCGGUUAAUGUCCAGGAGAGUGGCCCCCUGCAUGGGGGGUUGACUAGAGAUUUAUCGGUAUGGGAUGAGCUUGCGUCCGAUUAGCUAGUUGGCGGGGCAACGGCCCACCAAGGCGACGAUCGGUAGCCGGCCUGGAGAGGGUGAUCGGCCACAUUGGGACUGAGAUACGGCCCAGACUCCUACGGGAGGCAGCAGUAGGGAAUAUUGCACAAUGGGGGAAACCCUGAUGCAGCAACGCCACGUGUGGGGAAAGAAGCAUUUCGGUGUGUAAACCACUGUCAUGAGGGAAUAAGGCCCGCCUUCGGACGGGAUUGAAUGUACCUUGAGAGGAAGCACCGGCAAACUUCGUGCCAGCAGCUGC